ensembl:lncRNA
CCCACCUGAUCUUGCCUCCUUCCAACUGCCUUCCAUUUUGAAGACGUGUAUUUUCAUUGUUAAAGGGGCCACGACAUGAUCUGAUCAAAUAUAAUGGAUCAUCUGUGAUUUAGGGCAGAAGAGGAGGAAUUGGAAUUGGGCCCAGGGUUCUGCUGAUUGGUUGAGGCUACGUGAGGUCAGCCAGGUGUAGAUCAUUUGGUGUAGAUCAAGUCCCAUUAAAAACUCCAUAAUGUGCACAAGGUAGACUGCUAGAUUAUCAAUCAUCUUUUUCAGAAAAAAAUAAUCAGGGAAGACGUCACAUACCUGUAGCGGUAAAUGGAAGUUGUUGCUAUGGUGACGGUAGGAUGCAACAAGCAUGAGUACCUGUUAAGUUCAACAUCGCAUGAGGAGUACUCAGAUGACGAGGUGGCGGUGGAGUUCAUCACCCAUGAUGCCCUGUCGAGAUCAAUAUCACCCGAGGAGUACUCCGACGAUGAGAUAUCAACCAAGAAGGCGACGCAUUGGAGACUUGGACCAGCGGAUCACUGUGAUACUAUUCCCUACACGGGCAACUUGAACCAUAGUGUUGCUGUUCGCUUUGACUUUGAUAAUACUGUUCUGUAUGACUUUGACAUGGACCGUGAUACCCAGGAGGAGGAGAUGGUGAAGUCUGCCGAGGAUGAAGUGUCCUGUCGAGUACACAGAUACAGGUUGUGUAGUAUGGAUAGACCCUCUGUUGGCUGAUUGUGGGAUGUGUUGUGGCUGUUUUUUAAAAUAUUUUUUUACAUAUGUAAUGUCUAAAUAUCUUUAUGAAUGAUUAAAAUUGAUUAUUAUUAUUUGGGCUUUUAUUCAACACUAUAUUCGAUCCAAUCCAGGCAAAGUCUUAUUCUAGCAGGUAACCUAAAACAUUUCAUAAGAUUGACAAAUGUAAUAAAAAGUCAUCUCUAAACAUAAUGUACACCUGGAGAUUACCCUACAAGAGACUACCUAGUAAAGCUAUUUUAAGGAUUGAUCGUUUAAAAAAAUAAUAAAUAUAGUGGUUUUAUUAUUUAUUGGCUCCUUCUGUAGUAUCAUGCUUAUUUACACAGUACACUUAGUGACAGAAUAUGGAGAACGAACAGAG